UACAGAGACUGCAAGCGUUAUUCGGAUUCACUGGGCGUAAAGGGUGCGCAGGCGGCCAAGUGUGUCAGGUGUGAAAUCCCGAGCUUAACCUCGGAACUGCGCCUGAAACUACUUGGCUAGAGUACUGGAGAGGGUAACGGAAUUCACGGUGUAGCAGUGAAAUGCGUAGAUAUCGUGAGGAACACCAGGAGGCGAAGGCGGUUACCUGGACAGUUACUGACGCUCAGGCACGAAAGCGUGGGGAGCAAAAGGG
rnacentral:rRNA from 1 species